rnacentral:tRNA from 1 species
GGGCCCAUAGCUCAACGGUUAGAGCAGCGGACUCAUAAUCCGUUGGUUCGGAGUUCGAAUCUCUGUGGGCCCA